AGGGCGGGGUGUCAGGUCGGAGGUGCCCUCCCACUUGUUGCAGACUGGGGAACUGAGGCCGGGGCCGUGGGCUCAGAGGCAGUCACGGCCUGAAGCCGCCACGCCUGAGCUAGGAUGCGGGGGCCGUCCUCCCCUCUUGGGGAUCCAGUCCCCAAGGCAGGAGAGCGCCACCCCUCCAUGCAACAAAGACUUCCUGAGCAGUGAGCGCCACUGUGUGCAGGUCGCCUCACCUCCGAUUCACAUCCUGUCUUGGUUUAAUCUUCAAACCACUUUGGGCAAGAUGAGUGAGGCACAGAGAGGAAAUGUCAUCUACCUAAAGCACUCCAGCAGUGGUUGGAAGAGUCAGGAUUGAACCCAGAUCUCCUGGCUUCAGAGGGAGUAAGCUCUUAAGAAGAAUUAAGGAAGAGUGCAGACAGCAUGUUGGUCUGGGCCUGCGUUUCCCUAACUGUAACAAGGGGUAGCCAGCCACCAGGUCUUGAGGAUGCUCAAGCAGCUCCAUGGAGAGAUUCAAGCAGCGAGGAGCUGAGGCCUCCUGCCAACAGCCAGCGCCCACUUGCAAGCUGCAUGAGUGCACCGUCUUGAACGUGGAUCCUCCAGCCCCAGUCAAGCCUUCAGAUGUGUUCCUCCUUACCUGACAUCUUGACUAUCACUGUGGGGAUGCCCUAAAACAAACUGCUCAGCUAAACUGCUCCCGAAUCCUGACCCAGAGAAACUGUAGAUGAUAUAUGUUCCUUGUUUUGAGCUGCUAAAUUGUGUGGUGGUUUGUUAGACAGCAGAGGAUAACUAAUAUGUGUAUGUAGCACAGUGCCUGGCAUAGUAUGUGCUCAACAAAUGAUAGCAAGGUGAUAUUAUUAAUCACUCUUCUUCUUGGGAACCACGCUUUGUAACUAGAUUGAGCUCGUUGUACCAGCUUCCUUCUUUCCUCGGGCUGUGGCCUGUUCUAGCCAAGGCAACGGAGGGCUAGUCCCCUUAGUUUGCCAGCUGUGUCUGAAUCCUUCUUUGACUUGAAGCGGGUCCUCCACACCACUGUCCACAGCCAUUGCCAUUUAGGACUAGCUAAUCUAUUUCCUGCUUUUGUAAUGUCUUCAACAUCAGGACUGUAUUAAAAAAAAAAAAAAUGAGUACAGGCCUCCUGGCCUGUCUAUUUGUAUAUGAAAGUAAAGACUCCUAAGGUUAGGAGGAACCUCAUUGUCUCCUCAUCUAAUCCCCCUCCCUCUCACGUUAAUCGGAUGCCCUCAUUUUCCUAUUUGGGCUCCUGGACUUCAUCUACUCACCUGCCUUCCUCAACAUCAUCCCCUUUCAGAGCUCAUCAUUCUCUGCUUUUGAAAACUCUCUCACCAGUAAGCAUCUGUUUCCUCCCAACCUUGCUCCCUGAGCAAGUGGAAUCUGAAACCUGUCCCUCCUGGAUGUUUCUAUCUGAGAAGGAGCCAGUCACUCCUGAGCUGACCACCCGCAUCCAUCUUCCUCCAUACCCAUUUCCUGUUGCUUUGCUGUCCCAUCAGGCUGGAAAGUAGCCACUGUCAGCUGCACUCUGGUGGCGGGGCCAUCUGGAACAAAUGCUGCUAUCUCUAGAC